rnacentral:lncRNA from 10 species
AGCAGAAGCAUUUGCCCAGGGUUAAACCAUUAAUAAGCGGCAUAGCAAGUAUCUGAACCCAGAGCCAUUUGGUUCCAGGAUCUGAGCACUUGACCUCCAAGCUUUACUGCCUUUCAUGAGCCAGAAUGGUCAAACUGUUUCCUCUGAUUGCAGGCUGGGGUUGGGAGGGUUGAGAACUUACAGAGCAGGCUCUUGGACAACUCCUUUCUCUCUCAGGAAGAGGCUCCAGGGCCACCGACCAAGCCUAAGAAGACCUGGAACAGGAGGCCAGAACCAGUCCUACUCUGCACAUCAGCACCACCAGUCUCUCUUGCUCUGUCUCUUGGUCCUUUUUUCCUGGUGCUGGUGGGUGGUAUUGGAUCUGUCAUUUCUCUCCUUGGAGGCAAGUAUCUGAGACUCAAGUGUGCCCACUGAGAAGAUAAGGAACCAGGCAGACUGUGGGAGUUGCCCUGGUUCUGGGCUCUACACUGACUCUGGCCUGGGCCUGACAAAAGGAGUUUUCUACUGCACUGGUUUUGCUCGGUUGAGAUCUGCACUAGGGUUUGCUCUUCUUUGCUUCGUCUACAUGUAUCAGAUGAGGUCAUCAGGAUGGUGUCCUCAGAGGGGAUUAGUGCCUUUAUAAUAAGAAAAACUGGAGGAUUGGAGCUCUCUCUCUCUCUCUCUGUCUCCCUCUCCCUCUCCCUCUUCCUCUCCCUGUCUCUCUCCACCUCUCUCUUUCUCUACUAUGUGAAGACACAGCAAGAAGACAGCUGCCUGCAAGCCAGGAAGAGAGCCCUCACCAGGAACGAA